rnacentral:rRNA from 1 species
UGCUCAACGCCACUGGUGGAGAGUGGAUUUGUGCACGGUGAGAACUGCUGCACAAGGAGUGUUCGAUUGGACUCCUUUUCACACAAUGAACAACCAGCUUAGAACUGAUGCGGGCAAGGGGAAUCCGACUGUUUAAUUGAAACAAAGUAUUGCGAUGCCCUGAAAGGAUGUUGACACAAUGUGAUUUCUGCCCAGUGCUCUGAAUGUCAAAGUGAGGAGAUUCAACUAAGCGCGGGUAAACGGCGGGAGUAACUAUGACUCUCUUAAGGUAGCCAAAUGCCUCGUCAUCCAAUUAGUGACGCGCAUGAAUGGAUUAAUGAGAUUCCUACUGUCCCAAUCUACUGUCCAGCGAAACCACAGCCAAGGGAACGGGCUUGGGUGAGUCAGCGGGGAAAGAAGACCCUGUUGAGCUUGACUCUAAUCCGACUUUGUGAAAUGACUUAGGAGGAGUAGGAUAUGUGGGAGCUCAGGUGAUCUUGAAAUACCACUACUUUUAAUGUCACUUUACUUACUCUAUCCAACUGUGCCCUGCCUCACAGCAGGUUUUUGCUUUCAAGGUUGCUCUUUUGGCGUGUUGAUUUGCGUAGAAGACGUCGUCCGGUGGGGAGUUUGGCUGG